CGCCGUCACCUCUGCCAAGUCUAUUCACUGGCAUCAAAAGUAUGACCAAAAGUAACAAUGGAGUUCCUCAACCCCCUGUUGUUAUUCUGCUGUGAAAAUAACUGAUAAGUGAAGAAAGGUCUCCUGCAACUUCAAAGGAAUCUUCCAUGUCUGCUUUUAUUGAAAGCCCAUCACUAAGGAGAACCACAGGUCCAGACAUCCAGAACAGAGACUGACUUUGUUCACAGUAAGUCGGCCACUUGUUUAGUCAGUAUGAGGGGGAUGUGAAAGAAUUUCAUUCCAAUUUCCUUUCUCUGUAAUCCCAGUUGUAAUAUAGUAAUUAAAGUGUGUUUUAGUUGUCCAAUGAUUUUAAUUAGUUUUUACAAUA